rnacentral:rRNA from 1 species
UGGGGAAUAUUGGACAAUGGGCGAAAGCCUGAUCCAGCCAUGCCGCGUGUGUGAAGAAGGUCUUCGGAUUGUAAAGCACUUUAAGUUGGGAGGAAGGGCAUUAACCUAAUACGUUAGUGUUUUGACGUUACCGACAGAAUAAGCACCGGCUAACUCUGUGCCAGCAGACGCGGUAAUACAGAGGGUGCAAGCGUUAAUCGGAAUUACAGGGCGUAAAGCGCGCGUAGGUGGUUUGUUAAGUUGGAUGUGAAAUCCCCGGGCUCAACCUGGGAACUGCAUUCAAAACUGACUGACUAGAGUAUGGUAGAGGGUGGUGGAAUUUCCUGUGUAGCGGUGAAAUGCGUAGAUAUAGGAAGGAACACCAGUGGCGAAGGCGACCACCUGGACUAAUACUGACACUGAGGUGCGAAAGCGUGGGGAGCAAACA